GACCUCAAAUCAGGUAGGACUACCCGCUGAACUUAAGCAUAUCAAUAAGCGGAGGAAAGGAAACUAACAAGGAUUCCCCUAGUAACUGCGAGUGAAGAGGGAAAAGCUCAAAUUUAAAAUCUGUCAGUCUUUGGCUGACCGAGUUGUAAAUUAGAGAAGUGCUAUCUGCGCUGGCCUGUGCAAAAGUCUCUUGGAAAAGAGCAUCAUAGAGGGUGACAAUCCCGUCUUUGGUACAGAGCUCCAGGGCUUCAUGAUGUGCUCUCAAUGAGUCGAGUUGUUUGGGAAUGCAGCUCUAAAUGGGUGGUAAAUUCCAUCUAAAGCUAAAUAUUGGCGAGAAACCGAUAGCGCACAAGUACCGUGAGGGAAAGAUGAAAAGAACUUUGAAAAGAGAGUUAAACAGUACGUGAAAUUGUUGAAAGGGAAACGCUUGAAGUCAG
rnacentral:rRNA from 1 species